GAUGAAGAACGUAGCAAAAUGCGAUAAGUAAUGUGAAUUGCAGAAUUCAGUGAAUCAUCGAAUCUUUGAACGCACAUUGCGCCCGCCAGUAUUCUGGCGGGCAUGCCUGUUCGAGCGUCAUUUCAACCCUCAAGCACAGCUUGGUGUUGGGACUCGCGUUAAUUCGCGUUCCCCAAAUUGAUUGGCGGUCACGUCGAGCUUCCAUAGCGUAGUAGUAAAACCCUCGUUACUGGUAAUCGUCGCGGCCACGCCGUUAAACCCCAACUUCUGAAUGUUGACCUCGGAUCUGGUAGGAAUACCCGCUGAACUUAAGCAUAUCAAUAAGCGGAGGA
rnacentral:misc_RNA from 1 species